rnacentral:rRNA from 1 species
AACGAACGCUGGCGGCAGGCUUAACACAUGCAAGUCGAACGCAUCCUUCGGGGUGAGUGGCAGACGGGUGAGUAACGCGUGGGAACGUGCCCUUCAGUUCGGAAUAACCCAGGGAAACUUGGGCUAAUACCGGAUACGUGCGAGAGCAGAAAGAUUUAUCGCUGAAGGAUCGGCCCGCGUCUGAUUAGCUAGUUGGUGAGGUAAUGGCUCACCAAGGCGACGAUCAGUAGCUGGUCUGAGAGGAUGAUCAGCCACAUUGGGACUGAGACACGGCCCAAACUCCUACGGGAGGCAGCAGUGGGGAAUAUUGGACAAUGGGCGCAAGCCUGAUCCAGCCAUGCCGCGUGAGUGAUGACGGCCUUAGGGUUGUAAAGCUCUUUCGUCCGGGACGAUAAUGACGGUACCGGAAGAAGAAGCCCCGGCUAACUUCGUGCCAGCCGCCGCCGUAAGAC